rnacentral:rRNA from 1 species
CCUACGGGAGGCAGCAGUGGGGAAUUUUGGACAAUGGGCGCAAGCCUGAUCCAGCCAUGCCGCGUGUGGGAAGAAGGCCUUCGGGUUGUAAACCACUUUUGUCAGGGAAGAAACGGCUUUUUCUAAUACAGAGAGCUAAUGACGGUACCUGAAGAAUAAGCACCGGCUAACUACGUGCCAGCAGCCGCGGUAAUACGUAGGGUGCAAGCGUUAAUCGGAAUUACUGGGCGUAAAGCGUGCGCAGGCGGCUUUGCAAGACAGAUGUGAAAUCCCCGGGCUCAACCUGGGAACUGCAUUUGUGACUGCAUGGCUAGAGUACGGUAGAGGGGGAUGGAAUUCCGCGUGUAGCAGUGAAAUGCGUAGAUAUGCGGAGGAACACCGAUGGCGAAGGCAAUCCCCUGGACCUGUACUGACGCUCAUGCACGAAAGCGUGGGGAGCAAACAGGAUUAGAUACCCUGGUAGUCCACGCCCUAAACGAUGUCAACUGGUUGUUGGACGGCUUGCUGUUCAGUAACGAAGCUAACGCGUGAAGUUGACCGCCUGGGGGNGGACGGCGCGAGUAGUAACGUAAAGUAAGUAGAGCGUGAGACGUAGCCGACGGACGACGACGAGGGGAGGAGG